AGCUUUGCGCAGUGGCAGUAUCAUGGCCAAUGAGGUUUAUCCGAGCGCGAUUAUUGCUAAUUGAAAAUUUUUCCUAAUACCCCACCAUGAUGAUUUCUAAUAGAGUCGGCACUGGCAAUUUUUGACAGUCUCUACAGAGA
rnacentral:snRNA from 1 species